AUUCAUUCAACAAACAUUUCUAAGUGUCCAUGGUGACCCAGACAUCAUGGGAACCUUGGGGUUUCAGAGUUGAGUAGAACACGACUCCCAUCCUUAGGGAUUCACCAUCCAGUAGAGGAGAAAGACGUCUAGACAGAAGACAAAAGGGAAGGAAAAGCUCGAUGCUGUGCCUUCAGCUCAGCUUCUCCAUUUUUUAGAGAAGGGUUAAUGGGGCAAGCAGAGAGAGAGAUGAGAGAUCAAACUUUCCAGGGCCUUUGUCUCCAGAGCAGAGGGUCUCAAACCUUAGUGAGCAAAAACUGAUCCAGAAGACUUGUUGGAGGCGUAGCUUCCAGUUCAGCAAGCCUGUUUCAGCAGAUUGGAGAUCCCGUGUCUGCAGCACGUGCUGAUCGCCAAGGGUGAGGCUGGAUGAAGCCAGAGGCUAUGGAAAGGAGACUGUUUCAGAGGACUUGACACCAUCUUCAGUAAUUUCUCUGGUUCUUGGCAGCUCCAUUUGGCUGUGUCCCUACCCUGCACAACCCUCCCAUGCAGUCUACUCCAGGGCAGCGUCCAGCUGGUGACCUGAGAGGGCAGCGGUGCGCCAGUCUCCAUGAAGGUUGAGCUCGGAUGGCCAACAGCAAUUUUCACCCUGUGGUCUACAGCUCUUCAUCCUGAUUGCAUGGAGAUUGGUCUCUCUCUUCAGCUGGAUUGAGGCCACCAUCUGAGCCCCCGGGGUACGUUUUGUCUGACCCUGGCACCAUUCGGUUCUUCUACAGCAUCAGGCAUUCACCUGGCUUGUAGGGCUUUUGUGCUGUAGGCCUGUAUUUCCAGCUACUUUUGGAAAAAAUCUCUCUGGAGUCCCAAUGAGCUGGUCACAUCAGCCUGUCCAGAGGUAAAGCACAUUUCCCUGCCCUCGCGUGCCUCUCCCUUGCUGUCUUUCACUUAAUCAAGGCACACAACACCCUCUACAAUGCUGAGCAUGCUCAGGUCCUCCUGGGCUUCAUGGCGUCUUUCUUUUUCCUUAUUCCAUUGGCCUAAUCUGAUUGAAUUUACAUUUUGCACAUUUUGCAUUAGUAAUUCUCUUGCAUGAAUCUCUUUCUCUUCCUCCCUUCUGCCAUCACUAGCUCUUGUCCUCUCCUUUCUGGACUGUAGAAUAAUCUCUUUGGUGGUCUUUCUGUGGUCUUCCCUUCCCCUCCACUAAAUCUACUCUCAUUCAGUAUCAAGAAAUACUUAAUCAGCAAUGAAUACUCUCCACCCAGCCCCUGACCCAUUGUCAGUCUCUGACAUCAGCUCCUCUCCAGCACAGCAAAGUGCAACUGCAGCCAGCUCAUGCCUUCAAGAGAAGGACUGAAGAUCAUUGUGUGCCUGAACCA